rnacentral:tRNA from 2 species
GGGGCGGAUGUAGCCAAG